UGGCGGCUNGCUAAUGNAUNGCAAGUCCGCACGCACCUUUCAGGGGUGAGUNGGCGCACGGCUGAGGAACACGUGGGAAUCUNGCCCAUCUGUGGGGGAUAACCCGGAGAAAUCCGAGCUAAUCCCGCAUACGCUUCGCAAGAAGGAAAGCGGCAACGCGCAGACGGAGGAGCCCGCGGCCCAUCAGGUCGUUGGUGGGGUAACGGCCUACCAAGCCAAUGACGGGUAGCUGGUCUGAGAGGACAGACAGCCAGACUGGGACUGAGAACGGCCCAGACUCCUACGGGAGGCAGCAGCAAGGAAUUUUCGUCAAUGGGCGCAAGCCUGAACGAGCAACGCCGCGUGUGGGAUGACGGCCUUCGGGUUGUAAACCACUUUUUAGGGGGACGAUGAUGACGGUACCCCUGGAAUAAGCCCCGGCUAACUCUGUGCCAGCAGCCGCGGUAAUACAGAGGGGGCAAGCGUUGUCCGGAAUUACUGGGCGUAAAGCGUACGCAGGUGGCCGCUCAAGUGUGAUGUGAAAGCCCCGCGCUUAACGCGGGGAGGCCAUUACAGACUGGGUAGCUCGAGGGAUGUAGAGGGUCGUGGAAUUGCCGGUGUAGUGGUGAAAUGCGUAGAGAUCGGCAGGAACACCAAGGACGAAGGUAGCGACCUGGGCAUUGCCUGACACUCAUGUACGACAGCGUGGGGAGCGAACCGGAUUAGAUACCCGGGUAGUCCACGCCGUAAACGAUGGAUGCUCGGCGUGUGGCGGCUAUCAACGCCGCUGGGCGCCUCAGCUGACGCGGAAGCAUCCCGCCUGGGAACUACGAGCGCAAGCUAAAACUCAAAGAAUAC
rnacentral:rRNA from 1 species